rnacentral:sRNA from 1 species
CUUAGCAAUCUAUUUCGCUGGCACAUAUGGUCGUCGCUCUGGGGUUUUAUCUCCAAUUUUCAUUAGGAGCAUCAAUCUAUCCCAAUACCUCGGCGGGACAGCAAGGCAGUCGAAAGAACUUCCAUUCCACCCAGAUCGUGCUCUGCUUCCUGAUGUUGUAAUUAUUCAGCCGCCAAUCCGCAUAGACCCGGAAGCUCUCAGCCUCGCAUAUGGCAAGAUUAGCAUGGCCCUCCACGCCCAUAUACGCAAGUGCAUGUUGCCAAUAAACCGAACGAAGGAGACAACACAGAGAGAUGUAACAGCAAGUAUGAAAGGAAUG